rnacentral:rRNA from 1 species
GACGAACGCUGGCGGCGUGCUUAACACAUGCAAGUCGAACGAAGAGCGAUGGACGCUUGCUUCUAUCAAUCUUAGUGGCGAACGGGUGAGUAACGCGUAAUCAACCUGCCCUUCAGAGGGGGACAACAGUUGGAAACGACUGCUAAUACCGCAUACGAUCUAAUCUCGGCAUCGAGGAUAGAUGAAAGGUGGCCUCUACAUGUAAGCUAUCACUGAAGGAGGGGAUUGCGUCUGAUUAGCUAGUUGGAGGGGUAACGGCCCACCAAGGCGAUGAUCAGUAGCCGGUCUGAGAGGAUGAACGGCCACAUUGGGACUGAGACACGGCUCAGACUCCCACGGGAGGCAGCAGUGGGGAAUCUUCCGCAAUGGACGAAAGUCUGACGGAGCAACGCCGCGUGAGGGAUGACGGCCUUCGGGUUGUAAAGCUCUGUUAAUCGGGACGAAAGGCCUUCUUGCGAACAGUUAGAAGGAUUGACGGUACCGGAAUAGAAAGCCACGGCUAACUACGUG